ensembl:processed_transcript
GAAUUCAGUCGAAUCGCUACUGUCCCACUAAUUCAAACAUUUUUCAAAACUGCAUGGUUCCACCAGCAAGCUGGACAGCAUUUACCGUACAAAAGAAGAAAUUGCAAAAUGGAAAAUUUGAAAACUGAUGGCUACCAUCGACAAGAGUGAUGCCAUCUCAACUUGGAGAGCUUGCAUUCUCAGAGCACUUUCUGUGUAUCUUAAUGAAGACUAUUAAAACCUCAUGAAGGAGUAUACAGAGACAGACUUUGAGAGAGACAUGGCCAAUACUGUCAUUAAAAUCUACACCGUUACGCCUGAAGUUGUAGAAGUCUGUGACCCACCAUCAGUUGCUGGACUGA